CAUCCUGUGUUUAAUGGCCCAAAAACGACGGCUGAAGUGUAAAGGAAACGAACGAGACAUGAUGGCAGUCACGAAGGAAAGCACCAAGACAGCGGUGCGGCUUUUGGUAUCCUUGCUCGUCGCAGGCCAGAAAGAGGGCUGAGGGAGGUAUCCGGCGAUUGCAGAUCGCGAGGGCGAAGAAGCUGUCUUCGGGGUCGACGAGACCGAAGGGGAGGAAGGGAGGAGCAGCGAGGCGACUUUGAUCUCGGAGAAGGGUGCAGCGAGGAGCUGCUCAAGCGGCUUCUCGGCUGCAUGCUCGGUUCCAUCAUCGAGGUGCGAAGGAAGGGUAAUCAGCGACCGCUGGGUUUUUCAGCCGUGAAGCUCGACUGAGAAGAAGAAGUUUCAAGGAUUUUCAGAUCGAGGUUUUGGUGUGGCUGUUCUUGGCUGCUCUUCUGUUAGAUCGAUCAGAAGUAAACACGAUGGAAAUGGGAAACAGUUGGAUUGAAGGGUAAGGACGAAGCAGCAACCGGUAAUCCUCUUGAUUCAUUUUUUUUUAUUUGGCAUCCAAUCCAAAGGAUGACGACACUGGCAGAAUGAUUGAUCAAGGGGGUGUUUGGGUAAGAACGAAAAUGGGCUGCGAUGGUGACUAACAGAUCCGGCUAAGGAAGAGAACAAAAAAAAAACGAAUGGGAAGAUUUGUCUAGCAGUGAAGAAAUGGAUGAAGGGUAAGAGGAUUGUUUCGUUUGGUGUUUGAUUUUCGACAUGGAAGUGAAGGAGAAGAAGGGUGGAGCGUUAGAUUGAGGGUAGAGUGGGGAAGAAGUUAAUCGUGCCUGAAGCAACACUUUAGAUGAUCUUUAUUUGAUUGUAAUUGUACAGUUUGUGGGUUAUAUUUGAUAGUUUAAUUGGUUAAAGGAUGCGUGCAAGCAAUCUUCAAUUUGACAGUCAAUUAGUCAAAGACUUGCAAGUUAAUUAUACUUGGCUGUCAAACUCUUUGUAUUUGGUAGUUUAAAAGAAUGAAUUUUGUGGUAUAA